ACCUACGGGUGGCUGCAGUGGGGAAUAUUGCACAAUGGGCGAAAGCCUGAUGCAGCGACGCCGCGUGCGGGAUGACGGCCUUCGGGUUGUAAACCGCUUUCAGCUCUGACGAAGCUUUUGUGACGGUAGGAGCAGAAGAAGCACCGGCUAACUACGUGCCAGCAGCCGCGGUAAUACGUAGGGUGCGAGCGUUGUCCGGAAUUAUUGGGCGUAAAGAGCUUGUAGGCGGCUUGUCGCGUCUGCUGUGAAAGCCCGGGGCUUAACCCCGGGUCUGCAGUGGGUACGGGCAGGCUAGAGUGUGGUAGGGGAGACUGGAAUUCCUGGUGUAGCGGUGGAAUGCGCAGAUAUCAGGAGGAACACCGAUGGCGAAGGCAGGUCUCUGGGCCAUUACUGACGCUGAGAAGCGAAAGCGUGGGGAGCGAACAGGAUUAGAUACCCCUGUAGUC
rnacentral:rRNA from 1 species